UACGUAGGGGGCAAGCGUUGUCCGGAUUUAUUGGGCGUAAAGAGCGUGUAGGCGGCUUGGUAGGUCCGCUGUGAAAACUCGAGGCUCAACCUCGAGAUGUCGGCGGAAACCACUUGGCUAGAGUCCGGAAGAGGAGAGUGGAAUUCCCGGUGUAGCGGUGAAAUGCGCAGAUAUCGGGAAGAACACCCGUGGCUAAGGCGGCUCUCUAGUACGGUACUGACGCUGAGACGCGAAAGCGUGGGGAGCGAACAGG
rnacentral:rRNA from 1 species